rnacentral:tRNA from 1 species
AAGGGUACAGCUCAGUGGUAGAGUGCGUGCUUAGCAUGCACAAGGUCCUGGGUUCAGUCCCCAGUACCUCCA